AGGUAAGCGCUUAAGAGCAAAUGGUGGAUGCCUUGGCUGUAAGAGGCGAUGAAGGACGUACUAGACUGCGAUAAGCUUUGGUGAGCCGUCAAGGGGCUUUGAGCCAGAGAUUUCCGAAUGGGGCAACCCAACUGAUUAUGUCAGUUACCCUUUAUGGGAGCGAACCCGGAGAAGUGAAACAUCUCAGUACCCGGAGGAAAAUAAAUCAAACGAGAUUCCGAUAGUAGCGGCGAGCGAAAUCGGACAUAGGGCAAACCGUUAGUUUACUAACGGGGUUGUAGGACUGCAGCAUAGAUUAAAGACGACCAGUAGAAUGUUCUGGAAAGGACAAGCAUAGAGGGUGAUACUCCCGUAUAUGAAACCAACUUUAACUUAGCAGUAUCCUGAGUAGGGCGGGACACGUGUUAUCCUGUCUGAACCUGGGGGGACCACCCUCCAACCCUAAAUACUACUUACAGACCGAUAGUGAACAAGUACCGUGAGGGAAAGGUGAAAAGAACCCCAGCGAGGGGAGUGAAAUAGAACCUGAAACCAUUUGCUUACAAUCAUUCAGAGCCCUAUGAUUUAUCAGGGUGAUGGACUGCCUUUUGCAUAAUGAGCCUGCGAGUUGUGGUCAGUGGCAAGGUUAAGGUAACCCGGAGCCGUAGCGAAAGCGAGUCUUAAUAGGGCGAAUUAGUCACUGGCUGCAGACCCGAAGCGAAGUGAUCUAUCCAUGAGCAGGUUGAAGCUGGUGUAAGAGCUAGUGGAGGACCGAACCGGUAACCAUUAAAACGGUUUCGGAUGACUUGUGGAUAGGGGUGAAAGGCCAAUCAAACUUCGUGAUAGCUGGUUCUCUCCGAAAUAUAUUUAGGUAUAGCGUUGUGAAGUAAUUAUGGGGGGUAGAGCACUGAAUGGGCUAGGGCAUACACCAAUGUACCAAACCCUAUCAAACUCCGAAUACCCAUAAUGUAAUCACGGCAGUCAGGCGGCGGGUGAUAAAAUGCGUCGUCAAAAGGGGAACAACCCAGACUACCAGCUAAGGUCCCUAAAUCUUACUUAAGUGGAAAACGAUGUGAAGUUACUUAAACAACCAGGAGGUUGGCUUAGAAGCAGCCAUCCUUUAAAGAAAGCGUAACAGCUCACUGGUCUAGUGAUUUUGCGCGGAAAAUAUAACGGGGCUAAAGUAAGUACCGAAGCUGUAGAUUUGCUGCGCACUUUCAAGUAUUUCAAGUUAUAUUUCUCAAAAACAUGUUUUUGAGAAAAUAUCAAAGAUAAAGAAAAAAGAGAAUUUAAAAACUCUAUUUCAUAAUAAAACUCAAAAACAUGUUUUUGAGAAAAUAUCAAAGAUAAAGAUAACAACUUAAUAUUUGAAUGUGCGCAGCAAGUGGUAGGAGAGCGUUCGUAUCAGCAUUGAAGGCGUACCGGUAAGGAGCGCUGGAGCGAUACGAAGUGAGCAUGCAGGCAUGAGUAGCGAUAAAAGAGGUGAGAAUCCUCUUCGCCGAAAACCCAAGGUUUCCUACGCGAUGUUCGUCAUCGUAGGGUUAGUCGGGACCUAAGUCGAGUCCGAAAGGGGUAGACGAUGGCAAAUCGGUUAAUAUUCCGAUUACCAAUUAUAGAGCGCGAUGGAAGGACGCUUAGGGCUAAACGAAGCGUACUGAUGGAAAUGUACGUCUAAGGAUGUAGAUGAGGAUAUAGGCAAAUCCGUAUCCUCAAUUCGAGAUCUGACGGAGACCUGAUGCUCUUCGGAGCGGAUGGAAUUUUGUUGAUGCCGUCGAGCCAAGAAAAGUUUCUAAGUUUAUCUGUAAUUGCCCGUACCGUAAACCGACACAGGUGGGUGAGAUGAGUAUUCUAAGGCGCGUGGAAGAAUCCUGGUUAAGGAACUCUGCAAAAUAGCACCGUAUCUUCGGUAUAAGGUGUGCCUACUUUGGUUAAAUCCCUCGCGGAUUGAAGCUUUAGAGGCUGCAACAAAGAGUCCCUCCCGACUGUUUACCAAAAACACAGCACUCUGCUAACUCGUAAGAGGAUGUAUAGGGUGUGACGCCUGCCCGGUGCCGGAAGGUUAAUUGAUGGCGUAAGACGCAAGUCAAAGCGCUUGAUCGAAGCCCCGGUAAACGGCGGCCGUAACUAUAACGGUCCUAAGGUAGCGAAAUUCCUUGUCGAUUAAAUAUCGACCUGCAUGAAUGGCGUAACGAGAUGGGAGCUGUCUCGACCAGGAAUCCAGUGAAAUUGUAGUGGAGGUGAAAAUUCCUCCUACCCGCGGCAAGACGGAAAGACCCCGUGGACCUUUACUAUAGCUUGACACUGCUGUUGGGAUAACGAUGCGCAGGAUAGGCGGGAGGCUUUGAUUCAUGGAUUCUGGUCCAUGAUGAGCCGUUGUUGAGAUACCGCUCUUCUUUAUUCUGACAGCUAACUGGAAUGAGUUAUCCUCAUUCAGGACAAUGUCUGGUGGGUAGUUUGACUGGGGCGGUCGCCUCCUAAAAAGUAACGGAGGCUUACAAAGGUUGGCUCAAAACGGUUGGAAAUCGUUUGUAGAGUAUAAUGAUACAAGCCAGCUUGACUGUGAGACAUACAAGUCGAGCAGAGACGAAAGUCGGUCAUAAUGAUCCGGUGGUUCUGUGUGGAAGGGCCAUCGCUCAAAGGAUAAAAGGUACCCCGGGGAUAACAGGCUGAUCUCCCCCAAGAGCUCACAUCGACGGGGAGGUUUGGCACCUCGAUGUCGGCUCAUCGCAUCCUGGGGCUGAAGCAGGUCCCAAGGGUAUGGCUGUUCGCCAUUUAAAGCGGUACGCGAGCUGGGUUCAGAACGUCGCGAGACAGUUCGGUCCCUAUCUGCCGUGGGCGUAGGAAGGUUGAGGAGAGCUAUCUCUAGUACGAGAGGACCGAGAUGGACGAACCACUGGUGUACGGGUUGUUCUGCCAAGAGCAUCGCCCGGUAGCUAUGUUCGGAUGUGAUAACUGCUGAAAGCAUCUAAGCAAGAAGCCAACUCCGAGAUGAACCUUCCCUGAAGACCCCUUGAAGACUACAAGGUUAAUAGGCCGGAUGUGUAAUGGAUGAGAGUCCUUUAGCUGACCGGUACUAAUAGGUCGUUUGGCUUAUUCUU
rnacentral:rRNA from 1 species